GAUGAACGCUAGCGGCAGGCUUAACACAUGCAAGUCGAGGGGCAGCAUUUCCAGCAAUGGAAGAUGGCGACCGGCGCAAGGGUGCGUAACGCGUGAGCAACAUGCCUAUCACAGGAGGAUAAUCCAUGGAAACGUGGUCUAAUACUCCGUAGUAUUAAUGUUUGGCAUCAGAUAUUAAUUAAAGCUUCGGUGGUGAUAGAUUGGCUCGCGUGACAUUAGCUAGAUGGAGAGGUAACGGCUCCCCAUGGCUACGAUGUCUAGGGGUUCUGAGAGGAAGGUCCCCCACACUGGUACUGAGACACGGACCAGACUCCUACGGGAGGCAGCAGUGAGGAAUAUUGGACAAUGGGUGAAAACCUGAUCCAGCCAUGCCGCGUGCAGGAAGACGGCCCUAUGGGUUGUAAACUGCUUUUGUAUGGGAGCAAUAAGCUCUACGCGCAGAGUGAUGAGAGUACCAUACGAAUAAGCAUCGGCUAACUCCGUGCCAGCCGCCGCAGUAA
rnacentral:rRNA from 1 species